UUCUAUGACAUCCUCACCACUUCCUCAGGUCAGGUUCUGUUUGAUGAUUGGUAUAUCGUCAUCUUCAACGUCUUCUUGACAUCCUUGCCUGUCAUCUCCUUGGGUGUGCUAGAACAGGAUGUUUCAUCUGAAGUCUGUCUUAAGGUAAAAAAAAUCAAGAACUUACCUUGACAUCCUUGCCUGUGAUCUCCUUGGGUGUGCUGGAACAGGAUGUUUCAUCUGAAGUCUGUCUUAAGGUAAAAAAAAUCAAGAACUUACCCGAUCUGCCCCCUGCCCCCUCCUAACUAUUACCAUUAUGCAUUAUGAAAGUCUUAACUUGGUUGCACCCCUAGGAAACAAAAACUUCAUAUGCAAUUCGGACACUAACAAUACAUUAUAUCACACAUUUGAAAAUCCAACAUCAUGUGUUCGUGUUCAUGCUGCUUAGGUUGUACAUAGUAUAGGUACUAUAAUGCCUUCCAUAUGGCUUUUCUCAACAUUCUAAUCAGUC
rnacentral:lncRNA from 1 species